rnacentral:rRNA from 1 species
GACGAACGCUGGCGGCGUGCCUAAUACAUGCAAGUAGAACGCUGAAGAGAGGAGCUUGCUCUUCUUGGAUGAGUUGCGAACGGGUGAGUAACGCGUAGGUAACCUGCCUGGUAGCGGGGGAUAACUAUUGGAAACGAUAGCUAAUACCGCAUAAAAUGGAUUAUCGCAUGAUAAUCCAUUGAAAGGUGCAAAUGCAUCACUACCAGAUGGACCUGCGUUGUAUUAGCUAGUUGGUGGGGUAACGGCUCACCAAGGCGACGAUACAUAGCCGACCUGAGAGGGUGAUCGGCCACACUGGGACUGAGACACGGCCCAGACUCCUACGGGAGGCAGCAGUAGGGAAUCUUCGGCAAUGGACGGAAGUCUGACCGAGCAACGCCGCGUGAGUGAAGAAGGUUUUCGGAUCGUAAAGCUCUGUUGUAAGAGAAGAACGAGUGGAGAGGGAAAGUUCACA